GUUCCAGAGGCCUCAGUGCAGGCUCCCUGUCGGAGAGUGCAGUUGGGCCCGUGGAGGCAUGCUGCCUGGUCAUCCUGGCUGCAGAGAGCAAGGUCGCUGCGGAGGAGCUUUGCUGUCUGCUAGGCCAGGUCUUCCAGGUUGUUUACACGGAGUCCACCAUCGACUUUCUGGACAGAGCGAUAUUUGAUGGGGCCUCUACCCCGACCCACCACCUGUCCCUGCACAGCGACUUUGCUGUUCACAUUAGCCCAUAGGGUUUCAUGAAGGCAGAAGUGUCACCUGUCCUUGAGAGAGUUGCACCAGGACCAUGGCCAGACCCAUGGGAAGCUGCUCAGGCUGCCCUGGGAGGCCAGCUGGCAGUGGUGGAGCAGUGGCAGAUGGGGAAGAAUGGAAGGUACCCCAGAGCUGUCUCUUCCUGCAUGGCCCACACAGCAUUUUCAGGAGUCUGUUAGUCCAUUGAAAACACUUCAUCAGCAAGCUCACUUGAGUUAAGUCUUCAAAAACAUCAUCUGUUUUUCAGAUGUAUUACUUAUUGAGGAUUAAUGGGUUAUAUAAAUUGAGGUGCAUAAAAAGCUGUUGGAGGCUGGGUGUGGUGGCUCAUGCCUGUAAUCCCAGCACUUUGGGAGGCUGAGGCGGGCGGAUCACCUGAGGUCGGGAGUUCAAGACCAGCCUGACCAACAUGGAGAAACCCUGUCUCUACU
rnacentral:lncRNA from 10 species